rnacentral:rRNA from 1 species
GUGAACGCUGGCGGUAGGCCUAACACAUGCAAGUCGAACGGCAGCACAGUAAGCGCUUGCUCUUACGGGUGGCGAGUGGCGGACGGGUGAGGUAUACAUCGGAAUCUACUUUUUCGUGGGGGAUAACGUAGGGAAACUUACGCUAAUACCGCAUACGACCUACGGGUGAAAGCAGGGGAUCUUCGGACCUUGCGCGAUUGAAUGAGCCGAUGUCGGAUUAGCUAGUUGGCGGGGUAAAGGCCCACCAAGGCGACGAUCCGUAGCUGGUCUGAGAGGAUGAUCAGCCACACUGGAACUGAGACACGGUCCAGACUCCUACGGGAGGCAGCAGUGGGGAAUAUUGGACAAUGGGCGCAAGCCUGAUCCAGCCAUACCGCGUGGGUGAAGAAGGCCUUCGGGUUGUAAAGCCCUUUUGUUGGGAAAGAAAAGCAGCAGGUUAAUACCCCGCUGUUCUGACGGUACCCAAAGAAUAAGCACCGGCUAACUUCGUG